AUUGAACGCUGGCGGCAGGCCUAACACAUGCAAGUCGAACGGUAACAGGAAGCAGCUUGCUGCUUUGCUGACGAGUGGCGGACGGGUGAGUAAUGUCUGGGAAACUGCCCGAUGGAGGGGGAUAACUACUGGAAACGGUAGCUAAUACCGCAUAACGUCGCAAGACCAAAGAGGGGGACCUUAGGGCCUCUUGCCAUCGGAUGUGCCCAGAUGGGAUUAGCUAGUAGGUGGGGUAACGGCUCACCUAGGCGACGAUCCCUAGCUGGUCUGAGAGGAUGACCAGCCACACUGGAACUGAGGCACGGUCCAGACUCCUACGGGAGGCAGCAGUGGGGAAUAUUGCACAAUGGGCGCAAGCCUGAUGCAGCCAUGCCGCGUGUAUGAAGAAGGCCUUCGGGUUGUAAAGUACUUUCAGCGGGGAGGAAGGGAGUAAAGUUAAUACCUUUUCUCAUUGACGUUACCCGCAGAAGAAGCACCGGCUAACUCCGUG
rnacentral:rRNA from 1 species